rnacentral:rRNA from 1 species
GACGAACGCUGGCGGCGUGCUUAACACAUGCAAGUCGAACGGUGACCCUCGGAGCUUGCUUCGGGGUGAACAGUGGCGAACGGGUGAGUAACACGUGAGUAACCUGCCCCUGACUCUGGAAUAAGCGCUGGAAACGGCGUCUAAUACCGGAUACGACACGCCUCCGCAUGGGGAGCGUGUGGAAAGUUUUUCGGUCUGGGAUGGACUCGCGGCCUAUCAGCUUGUUGGUGAGGUAAUGGCUCACCAAGGCGAUGACGGGUAGCCGGCCUGAGAGGGCGACCGGCCACACUGGGACUGAGACACGGCCCAGACUCCUACGGGAGGCAGCAGUGGGGAAUAUUGCACAAUGGGCGAAAGCCUGAUGCAGCGACGCCGCGUGAGGGAUGACGGCCUUCGGGUUGUAAACCUCUUUCAGCAGGGAAGAAGCGAAAGUGACGGUACCUGCAGAAGAAGCACCGGCUAACUACGUGCCAGCAGCCGCCGUAAAAC